rnacentral:rRNA from 1 species
UAAGGAAUAUUGGACAAUGGGCGGAAGCCUGAUCCAGCCAUCCCGCGUGCAGGACGAAGGCCCUCUGGGUUGUAAACUGCUUUUGUUAGGGAAGAAACCCCUGGAUUUAUCCGGGGCUGACGGUACCUAAAGAAUAAGCACCGGCUAACUCCGUGCCAGCAGCCGCGGUAAUACGGAGGGUGCAAGCGUUAUCCGGAAUCACUGGGUUUAAAGGGUGCGUAGGCGGCGUUAUAAGUCAGAGGUGAAAGGCCACCGCUUAACGGUGGGACUGCCUUUGAUACUGUAGUGCUUGAAUAAGGUUGAGGUUAGCGGAAUGUGACAUGUAGCGGUGAAAUGCAUAGAUAUGUCAUAGAACACCAAUUGCGAAGGCAGCUGGCUAGACCUUUAUUGACGCUGAGGCACGAAAGCGUGGGGAGCGAACAGG